rnacentral:rRNA from 1 species
AUCUGGUUGAUCCUGCCAGUAGUCAUACGCUCGUCUCAAAGAUUAAGCCAUGCAUGUGUAAGUAUAAAUAAUUCUACUUUGAAACUGCGAAUGGCUCAUUAUAUCAGUUAUAGUUUAUUAGAAAUAAUUUACUACUUGGAUAACCGUAGUAAUUCUAGGGCUAAUACAUGAGUAAAUCCUCGACUUUGAAGAGGUGUGUUUAUUAGUAUGAAAACCAUAUGCUUUUGCAUAAUAGUGAGUAAUAAUAACCUUUCAUAUCGUAUGUUGUAAUAACGAUAGUUCUUUCAAGUUUCUGCCCUAUCAGCUUUCGAUGGUAGUGCAUUGGACUACCAUGGCAGUAACGGGUAACGAAGAAUUUGGGUUCGAUUUCGGAGAGGGAGCCUGAGAGAUGGCUACCACAUCCAAGGAAGGCAGCAGGCGCGUAAAUUACCCAAUCCUGACAUAGGGAGGUAGUGACAAUAAAUCACAAUGCGGGACUUUUAGUUUUGCAAUUGGAUUGAGAACAAUGUAAAAGAGUUAUCGAUAAACAAUUGGAGGGCAAGUCUGGUGCCAGCAGCCGCGGUAAUCCAGCUCAAAGCGUUGUUGCAGUUAAAAAGCUC